rnacentral:tRNA from 1 species
GUGGGUAAGAGUGCUUGCUUUGCAAGCAUGAGGAUCUGAGUUCAAGUCCUCAGUACCCACA